AUUGAACGCUGGCGGCAUGCCUUACACAUGCAAGUCGAACGGUAACGCGGGGCAACCUGGCGACGAGUGGCGAACGGGUGAGUAAUGCAUCGGAACGUGCCCAGAAGUGGGGGAUAGCCCGGCGAAAGCCGGAUUAAUACCGCAUGAGACCUGAGGGUGAAAGCGGGGGAUCGCAAGACCUCGCGCUUUUGGAGCGGCCGAUGUCAGAUUAGCUAGUUGGUGGGGUAAAGGCCUACCAAGGCGACGAUCUGUAGCUGGUCUGAGAGGACGACCAGCCACACUGGGACUGAGACACGGCCCAGACUCCUACGGGAGGCAGCAGUGGGGAAUUUUGGACAAUGGGCGCAAGCCUGAUCCAGCCAUGCCGCGUGCGGGAAGAAGGCCCUCGGGCUGUAAACCGCUUUUGUCAGGGAAGAAACGCUCUGGGCUAAUACCCUGGGGUAAUGACGGUACCUGAAGAAUAAGCACCGGCUAACUACGUGCCAGCCGCCGCGGUAA
rnacentral:rRNA from 1 species